rnacentral:rRNA from 1 species
GUCUACUGCCAUACCAUCCUGAAAGCGCCCGAUCUCGUCUGAUCUCGAAAGCUAAGCAGGGUCGGGCCUGGUUAGUACUUGGAUGGGAGACCGCUAGAGAAUGCCAGGUGCUGUAGGCU